GAUGAACGCUGGCGGCGUGCCUAAUACAUGCAAGUCGAGCGAACAGAUGAGGAGCUUGCUCCUCUGACGUUAGCGGCGGACGGGUGAGUAACACGUGGAUAACCUACCUAUAAGACUGGGAUAACUUCGGGAAACCGGAGCUAAUACCGGAUAAUAUAUUGAACCGCAUGGUUCAAUAGUGAAAGACGGUUUUGCUGUCACUUAUAGAUGGAUCCGCGCCGCAUUAGCUAGUUGGUAAGGUAACGGCUUACCAAGGCAACGAUGCGUAGCCGACCUGAGAGGGUGAUCGGCCACACUGGAACUGAGACACGGUCCAGACUCCUACGGGAGGCCGCAGUAGGGAAUCUUCCGCAAUGGGCGAAAGCCUGACGGAGCAAAGCCGCGUGAGUGAUGAAGGUCUUCGGAUCGUAAAACUCUGUUAUUAGGGAAGAACAAAUGUGUAAGUAACUAUGCACGUCUUGACGGUACCUAAUCAGAAAGCCACGGCUAACUACGUG
rnacentral:rRNA from 1 species